UGUAUUUUUGCUCCUUGUUAUUUCUCAAUAUGUGUAUAUUUCUCCCUUAUUCCAAUAAUCUACUUCCUCUACCAAUAAAUAAUUUAUUUUUGCCCACUUACCCUUGUCCUUGGGCAUUGCCUACUAAAUGAAAUUGAAAAUUGAGACUUUUCUAAUACUUCGUUUUCGCGACAGCGAAUACUGACCAAGCCAUGCAAUCAGACCAUCAGUUCCAAAGGAAUGAAACUUCGAAGCAGACAC
rnacentral:lncRNA from 1 species